rnacentral:rRNA from 1 species
AGUGAACGCUGGCGGUAGGCCUAACACAUGCAAGUCGAACGGCAGCACAGUAAGAGCUUGCUCUUACGGGUGGCGAGUGGCGGACGGGUGAGGAAUACAUCGGAAUCUACUUUUUCGUGGGGGAUAACGUAGGGAAACUUACGCUAAUACCGCAUACGACCUACGGGUGAAAGCAGGGGAACUUCGGACCUUGCGCGAUUGAAUGAGCCGAUGUCGGAUUAGCUAGUUGGCGGGGUAAAGGCCCACCAAGGCGACGAUCCGUAGCUGGUCUGAGAGGAUGAUCAGCCACACUGGAACUGAGACACGGUCCAGACUCCUACGGGAGGCAGCAGUGGGGAAUAUUCGACAAUGGGCGCAAGCCUGAUCCAGCCAUACCGCGUGGGUGAAGAAGGCCUUCGGGUUGUAAAGCCCUUUUGUUGGGAAAGAAAAGCAGCAGGUUAAUACCCCGCUGUUCUGACGGUACCCAAAGAAUAAGCACCGGCUAACUUCGUG